GGCUACACACGUGCUACAAUGGGUAGUACAGAGAGUCGCAAAGCCGUGAGGUGGAGCUAAUCUCAGAAGACUAUUCUUAGUUCGGAUUGUACUCUGCAACUCGAGUACAUGAAGUUGGAAUCGCUAGUAAUCGCGAAUCAGCAAUGUCGCGGUGAAUACGUUCUCGGGUCUUGUACACACCGCCCGUCACACCACGAGAGUUGGUUGCACCUGAAGUAGCAGGCCUAACCGUAAGGAGGGAUGCUCCGAGGGUGUGAUUAGCGAUUGGGGUGAAGUCGUAACAAGGUAUCCGUACGGGAACGU
rnacentral:rRNA from 1 species